GCGCUUCUCCGCACCGGGAUCCCCAGUCCCUCAGGUUCCGACAGACCCUCCUGUCAGGCCCAUUCUCCGGGCCCCCUCAGUUGCAGUGUUAAGAUCAACAGUGUUAAGAUUAAAGCCUUGUGAUGUGCUAGCCACUACGCUGAGGAUAUGCCGUGUACUAAAAUUCCUCAGGACUCCUCACAGCUGCCCUGUAAGGAAGCGGCCAUGGCCGGGUUCUAGCGAUGCGAGGCCGAGGCUCGGGGCGCUGAGUAGCCUAGCGCGUCGCCGAGGAGAGCUGGCACGUGAACCCCUUGUCGUUUGCCGUCAGAGGUGUUAUGUGGUGGCCCUCAUUCUCCAUGCAUGGAGCAGACUCUAGGAUCUGCAGUUACUGUAUGAUGAGCCCUUCUGAGUAUUUUGCUUGAGUCUCGCUGUGUCACCCAGGCUGGAGUGCAGUGGUAUGAUCUCAGCUCACUGCAACCUCCACCUACCAG
rnacentral:lncRNA from 1 species